rnacentral:rRNA from 1 species
AGAGUUUGAUCAUGGCUCAGGACGAACGCUGGCGGCGUGCCUAACACAUGCAAGUCGAGCGAUGAAAUCCUUCGGGAUGGAUUAGCGGCGGACGGGUGAGUAACACGUGGGUACCUGCCUCAAAGAGGGGAAUANNCUCCCGAAAGGGAGAUUAAUACCGCAUAAUAUGUUUUGGUCGCAUGACCGAAACAUCAAAGGAGCAAUCCGCUUUGAGAUGGACCCGCGGCGCAUUAGCUAGUUGGUGAGGUAACGGCUCACCAAGGCGACGAUGCGUAGCCGACCUGAGAGGGUGAUCGGCCACAUUGGAACUGAGACACGGUCCAGACUCCUACGGGAGGCAGCAGUGGGGAAUAUUGCGCAAUGGGGGAAACCCUGACGCAGCAACGCCGCGUGAAUGAUGAAGGCCUUCGGGUUGUAAAGUUCUGUCUUCUGGGACGAUAAUGACGGUACCAGAGGAGGAAGCCACGGCUAACUACGUGCCAGCAGCCGCGGUAAUACGUAGGUGGCAAGCGUUGUCCGGAUUUACUGGGCGUAAAGGAUGCGUAGGCGGACAUUUAAGUCAGAUGUGAAAUACCCGAGCUUAACUUGGGUGCUGCAUUUGAAACUGGGUGUCUAGAGUGCAGGAGAGGUAAGUGGAAUUCCUAGUGUAGCGGUGAAAUGCGUAGAGAUUAGGAAGAACACCAGUGGCGAAGGCGACUUACUGGACUGUAACUGACGCGAGGCAUGAAAGCGUGGGGAGCAAACAGGAUUAGAUACCCUAGUAGUCC